rnacentral:rRNA from 1 species
AGAACGAACGCUGGCGGCAUGCCUAAUACAUGCAAGUCGAACGAACUCUUCGGAGUUAGUGGCGCACGGGUGCGUAACGCGUGGGAAUCUGCCCCUUGGUUCGGAAUAACAGUUGGAAACGACUGCUAAUACCGGGAUGAUGACGAAAGUCCAAAGAUUUAUCGCCAAGGGAUGAGCCCGCGUAGGAUUAGCUAGUUGGUGAGGUAAAGGCUCACCAAGGCAACGAUCCUUAGCUGGUCUGAGAGGAUGAUCAGCCACACUGGGACUGAGACACGGCCCAGACUCCUACGGGAGCAGCAGUAGGGAAUAUUGGACAAUGGGCAAAGCCUAGAUCCAGCAAUGCCGCGUGAGUGAUGAAGUCCUUAGGU